CCUACGGGUGGCAGCAGUGAGGAAUAUUGGUCAAUGGACGAGAGUCUGAACCAGCCAAGUAGCGUGAAGGAUGACUGCCCUAUGGGUUGUAAACUUCUUUUAUAAAGGAAUAAAACGAGGCACGUGUGCCUUUUUGCAUGUACUUUAUGACUAAGGAUCGGCUAACUCCGUGCCAGCAGCCGCGGUAAUACGGAGGAUCCGAGCGUUAUCCGGAUUUAUUGGGUUUAAAGGGAGCGUAGAUGGGUUGUUAAGUCAGUUGUGAAAGUUUGCGGCUCAACCGUAAAAUUGCAAUUGAUACUGGCAGUCGUGAGUACAGUUGAGGUAGGCGGAAUUCGUGGUGUAGCGGUGAAAUGCUUAGAUAUCACGAAGAACCCCGAUUGCGAAGGCAGCUUACGAAACUGUGACUGACAUUGAUGCUCGAAAGUGUGGGUAUCAAACAGGAUUAGAUACCCGGGUAGUC
rnacentral:rRNA from 1 species